CCAUUCCUCUUUUCAUCGUCUUCUUCUUCUUCUUCUUCUUCUUCGUCUCCAUUUUUAGGGUUUUGGGAGCACGGUGGCGAUAAUGGCGGUGGAGCGACGUUAGAUCGAAGCUCUCCAUCACCACCUCCGAUGUCCAUUUCUUCCGGCCGUAGCUUCCUCCUCUCCUCCUCCUCCUCGUCGUCUACGCUUCGUCAUGUAAAAAUCGGGUUUCUAAGCCCCAUUUUUAAUCUCCACCUUUUUUUUUUUGUGCUUAUUAACUAUCCGUUAGGUUUUGAUCGCGCCCUUUGUUACGAUCUCGAUGAUAUUCGAUCAUAGAAUUUUUAGUAGAUUUUCCUCUCUCUUUUUUUCCUCUCGUAAUUAUGCCUCUAGGGCUUUCAAUCAUUAAGGUUUUGUUUAGUUAUUUGGUUUGUUGAAUUUGUGUUCUGAUGUCAGUGAGUUUCUUGGUUUUUAGGGCUUGUUAGGGUUCCCUGUUGUUCAUUUUGGUGUUUGUGUGUGCGUGUGCGUGUGCGUGCGUGUGUAUUCUCUUGUUCAUUGUGGGGUGUGUGUGUGUGUUUGUGUGUUGUGUUCUCUUGUUCAUUGUGGUGAUUGCGUGAUUGCGUGCGUGCGUGUGUUGUUGUUGUUGUGUGUGCGUGUGUUUGUUGUACGCACGUGCGCGCGUGUAGUGUGUAGAAUGUGUGUAGUGUGUAGUGUGUGCGCGCACGCGUGCGCAUCUCUGUGUGUGUGUAUAGUGUGUGUGUGUGUGUGUGUGUGUGUGUGUGUGUGUGUGUGUGUGUGUGUGUGUGUUUGUAGAUUGCGCGCGCGCCUGCGUGCGUGCGUGUGUUUUCCUGUUCAUUUUGGGGUGUGUGUGGUGUGUUCUCUUGUCCAUUGUGGUGAUUGUUUGUGCAUGCAUACGUGUGUGUGUGUUCUCAUGUUUUAAUUUGAGUGAGCUUAUGAAUUUAUAUUAGGUUAUGUCCUUUCAUAUUUGCUAUUUAUGAAUGAUCAUCUCUUCUUUGAUGAAUGUAAAAUCUGAGCUGCAUAUGAAGUUGGAAUAAGGAUCUAGAAAUUUUCGUCGUAAGAGUAAGUUAUAGAAAGGCUAGGCUUAGAAGGACUUGGAAAAGGAAUUUGGGAGUCAUCAAACGGUCCAGAAUUUUGCUGUAAUAAGGGGUCACUAUAUUCCAUUGUAUUGACUCGACCACAUUCCAAUAUUUUGAUGAUCGCGAUUGUGUAGUCCAUGUCAGAGUUGUGCAGAAGCAUCAUUUAAAAAGAAAAUGAAUGCUUUCUUACAGUCCUAAUAUGAUUUUGCAAUUAGAAUUAAUGGAAUAGUGAGAUGCGAUCCGGUCACCACACUGGGGAUAUGGUGACCUCCUAUUGCAGCAGGGUUCUGUGUUGUUAGAUAGGAGGAACCAGAGAGUUUGGACUUUGGAUACUUCUUUUAUACGGAGCAUUGCCAAAAAAUGAUGAAUAUAGUCAAGUUGCCUCAAUAGGGAUGCACUGCCCUCCCAAUUAUAGUAGGGUUUUUGCUUCUUCUUCUUUUUCGUAUUCACAUUAGGCACAUGGCUUUCAAUCCGUUGGUGCUUUCCAUCAUGUCUCAAAUAUGGCACUGAUAGGGUUAGUGCACUAAAUAAGAAAAUUCGCCAGGAGGAUUUUUGAUAUAGAAUCAAAUAUAGAUUGAUGAAAAACGUAUAAUAAACACUAUAUAGAAAAGAUUGAUGCCUUUGAAACUAGAAGGUAACCUACAUGCCUUGCAGUAUUAUGGGCGAAUAUUAGCCACAGAGAAUCCAUAUUCUCGUAGAAUUAGUGAAGCAAACAGAUCGAUCUAAGGUGGAUGAAUUGUCAUAUGAGGAAGGGGAACAUAGAAAUUAUGAAUUUGCUUCAAGGUGUAAUUGGCUUCAAUUGAAAAGAAAUAAGGAAGAGUCAUUUCAUCACAUACGAUUAGAGACAUCAGUCCUCCACUUUCGGGGGUGAUCACACAUAUUUGAUUUUGAAGAUGCAUUUGGCUAGCCCAUUUUUAUAGGGUGAAGAUUGAGUUGAGCUGAGUUAGAAUAUUAUCUAUAAGAUGAGGCUAGGUAAAUAAUUAUUUUGAUGUUUGAGAAAGUUGUUUGGUGGUUGAGAAAAAGAAUAUGAAAAUAUAACAUCUCUUAUGCAAGAAAAGGUAUUGUAUUUAAAAUACUUGCUAUGGAUGAUAUGGUAGAGUAGGUAUCGGAAAUAAUUUCUUACAAUUUGCACAACUUGUGCAAAGCCAAAUUGUAUCCUAAAUUAGGCAUGCCACGUCAUCCAUUGACCAUAGUAGUUGAAAAACAAUGCAUCUAAAUACGAUAUUUUUUGUGUAUUUAUAUUCUUUUCUCAACCACCAAACAGCUUUCUCAACCAUCAAAAGUAUUAUUCUUUUAGCCAUUGCAUUCAUUUCUCUAGGCUAAAUUGAAAACGUGUGAGGAAAUAUUAUCUAUUGGAGAAAUUCAGCUUCGCACCUAAGUUUCGCUAAGUAUAUACUUAGGGAAGUGAUAUUAACAUAUCUUUUUUUGAUAGGGACAGAUCAGAUUCAUUGAAUCUAAUCAAAUCUAGUCAGUAAAUAAUAACCAGAUUCAAUGAAUCUAUCUGUCAAUAUCAAAAUUAGGUCGGUUAGUAGCACCACUCAUAUUCAUAAGUAGGCUUUGUAUAGGUGUACAAUUUAUCCAAAUAGAGUUGUGGGUGGAGGCAUCGUAUCAAAAUUGGAUUUGCAUAUUUCUAUCUUCAAAAUAUGGUAAAAGUACAACAUAGUUGUCUAACAUUUAAAUUUUAUGGUUUUUACUUCGUUAUGUCUUUGACCUAGUGUAAAGCCAUGGCUUCUUUGUUAUUGAUAGGGAAGCCUACUUAGUUGGAAUUUAUAGUAGGGAGAUUGGAAAUUAGACAAAGCCAUAUCUUAUAUUCUCAUAAUAAUACUAUUAUGCCAUUGCUUCUUGGGCUUCUGCGAGUUCUAACAAAAAUUGUCAACUGAGUAGGGAGAUCGGAAAUUGGACGUAAGCCUUUAUUUUUGGAAGAAGGUAAAUUGUGUUUGCGAAUAACUAAAUGAUAAUGGCACUGGUAUUAAUAGAGCAACUUUUACUAUAGACAGAUCAGAUAUAUUGAAUUUAAAUUGAUUCAGUUAGUGAAUUAUGACUGUAUUCAAUGUAUCUAUCUGUCAAUAGUAAAAUCUGCUCUGUUAAUAUCGUCACCGAAAGGAUAAUGCAGCUUUUUGUCAAUGUGCUUUUUUUAUUCUUCCAUACUAGAAAACUCUCAAUGCUGGAUUUUUCUGUUUUUUUUCUCCCUAAAUAGACAGUAGGAAAUGGCUGAUGGCAUUUUUGGUACUGCUCGUCCUUUUCCUGAUAAUUGACACAAAAUUUAAACAUCUGCUGACUUAUAUUCGAUAAAUUAUGCAUAUGUAUUUGGGGGUUUCAGAAUCUUAGGGGUUGAUUGACGAAGAAGAACAGUAUCUGAACCAGGAAAUAGUUGGAAAUUUUUGUUUUUUUUUUUCCAAUACACCACCUCAUUGUGUGCAACCACUUUACUAUUACUUUUUUUUGUGAGAAAAGCUCAUAGGCUGCAAUUUUUUUUAACUUGAAUUCGGCUGUACGCCAGAGCCAUUUUGUCUGGCUAUUGGAAUAGCCCCUUAAUUUCAAUAAUCAGAAGCUUGUCACAAGUUAUAUGUAUGCGGCUAGCGAAAAGUUUGGAGCCUUUGCAGAGCUGAGAAGCCAAAAAAAGAGCUUUUGGGCCUCGGAAGCAAGUAUGCUUUUGCUUUCAAGGUGUUAUUUCCGUUAGAAGUGAUCUUUAUGAAAAAGCUGUUAGUGCUACCUCGAAUGGGUCUAUAUCACGGACCGUCUCCUCUGAAACUCAUUGGGGCUGAACAGGCCGUUUAAUGGCCUGCAUUUCUUUGCUUUGUGAUUCUCUUCUCUGCAGGUCAAUGAUCAAUUCUCCGCCGACGAUGCAUCGCCGUACUAGUGAGAAUGAGAAGAAAGCGAUGGCCCUUCAUCUCCUUACCGAUUUAGCGAACAUCAGUAAUUGUAGCGAAGGGUGUACUAUUUCUCUGUAUAUAGUUAUUAUGAUUUUGAUUGUUUUAACCUGCAGGUGGAACUUGUUCUCUGUAUUUUUGAUGUUAUAUACCAGAGUGGUAAGCUGAUAAGCUGUGUUACAAUUGCUGGUGGUGGGUGAUGGUGUAUGAUUGUUGGUAGAUUAUUUGAAAGUUCAGUUUCAACUGGUUCGGAGGCAAGCCAAAGUGGCGGCCUAGCAUUGAAUCAGAUUAAUCAAUUACUUCAGCUGUUGGGGUGCAAGCCAAAGCAGUCCUGAUCAGAAGUAGUGAAUUGAUCGCUUUAUAAAAAUGCGCACACACGAUUUUUGUUUUGUUUUGCAUAUAUUAGAGAGAGAGAGAGAGUGUGUACGCGCGCGCGCGUUGAGGUAUAUGAUCGCAGUUUGAAAAUCUAUGGCGCAUAAAAGCGUACAAUUAUUUAACUUCUAUUCUAAGGGCAUGUUUGGUUCCUA